rnacentral:rRNA from 1 species
UACAGAGGGGGCAAGCGUUGUUCGGAAUUACUGGGCGUAAAGGGCGCGUAGGCGGGAUGGCAAGUCGGUCGUGAAAUCCCUCGGCUCAACCGAGGAACGUCGAUCGAUACUGCUGUUCUUGAGGAUUGCAGAGGAGACUGGAAUUCCCGGUGUAGCGGUGAAAUGUGUAGAGAUCGGGAGGAACACCGGUGGCGAAGGCGGGUCUCUGGGCAUUAACUGGACGCUGAGGAGCGAAAGCAUGGGGAGCGAACAGG